rnacentral:lncRNA from 1 species
UGGUAAACCAUAGUUAAUGAGCAUUACCUGAAUGAAGAUUCAGAGAAGGAGACAAAGAAGGAGUGGUCAGUUAAGCAAGAGAAUGAAGAGAGAAUGGCUUCUCCAAAACAGAGAGAAGAGUAUUGGGAGGGAACAGUGAUUGACAGUGUCAAAGACUACAGAGAGAUCAAGAAAAGAUUGGGAUUAAGAAAAGCUGGCAAAUGUAUUGUGAACCAGAAGCUUAGAGUAUAAAACUUCUUGGAAGAAUACCAGAGAACAAAGCUGAUAAGUAUUUGUCAUCCGUAAAAAGAUCAGAGAAGAUUCAGCUGUGUCCUUAGAGGAAAGAAUUUAAAUUACAGAGAAAAUCAGUUUUGUACAUCCCAGAUUUGAGAGGAAAAUGGAACUUAAGUUGGAAUAAAUAAAUAUGUGCAUGACCCUUCA